UGACAAUAAUACAGCUGCUUCCAUGGUGGCAGCGGCUGGAUUGGCCCAUUUGAUGGGUGUCCUCUUGUCCAGUAUGGUUGUAUUCAAAAAGAUUGUCACGAGUACCAGCGUUAUGUUGGUAACCGUUGUCCUCGUAUCCUCUUCAUUUAUCGUUGAACCACUGCUGACCUCUGGGUGGUUGAUAUCGAUAAACGCCAUUGUUUAUGUAGCUGGAAUGGCAGCGGUUUUCGCCAUUGGUGAUGUCAUGGUGAAGGAGUUCUUAGGGAUCGACAGAAUGGCCAACGCCCUCGGCUGGAUGGGCUUCUUGUCCGGAGUCUUUCGGUUUUUUUCCGGAUUUGUUCCAGGCUGGAUUUAUGAUCACUCUGGCAGUUACGAUCUGGCUUUCUUCUGCCUUGGCGCCGUCCAGAUGGUCUCGGCAGUUCCACUUCUUUGCUUGUGUCUGCACAACAGCAACCCUUGCAGAAAAUCCUAGUGAUAGUGGCGUUACGUUAACAAGCGAGGCAGGAGCCUGACGUAACGAACGUCUAAUAAUGUUCACGUAAGCCAAUUUUAGGCCAGCCAGCCAAUCGGAGCUGUAUUGGAUCAACGGGGCCGUUGAAUGGUCGAAGCCGUCAGCGGACUUUAUACACUUAGAAGGUACACCCUGGUUAGUCACAACAGCAAGAAUCACCUUGCAUUUAUUUAAUCGUUUGCUGCAGUAUUGUUAGACCAGCCAACCCUAUAUCAUAUCCUCCAUUAUCCAGCAUUAUGUUCUCUUGAUUUCUAAUUUCAGAAAACUGUCACCAUUACUAGACCCGUUUAUAUCCGUGUCCCUAAAUGUACAUUUUUUAGAGUAAGCCUGCAUCCUAAAAUCCCACGUUGGACGGGUCAAACCAAUUCACGGAAGAGGGGCUUUCGGUAAAUGAAAGAAAUGACAUUGUGAUAUUCCUACCAAUCCUACGCAUCACUGCUAAUGUCAAGUGGUUUACUGAACAUAGUUACGGUACAUCUAGGUUUGUGUUAUGAGUCAUCUAGCUAAAAGCUCCGUUAUUUUCCCGGGCUGCAUAUUUCCCUUGACAAACGAUGACGAACAUUUUGAUUGCUUAAUGGCAGACAUAACUUGCAUAUUAGCGACCGGUUCAGCGAUACACACGCUUAUAUUUAUAUAUGAGCGUAUAUCUAUAUAUACGAGCAGCCAGUUCGGUAUCCGGUUCGUAAGUGU